rnacentral:rRNA from 1 species
UACGUAGGGGGCUAGCGUUGUCCGGAAUCAUUGGGCGUAAAGAGCGUGUAGGCGGUCCGGUAAGUCCGUUGUGAAAGUCAGGGGCUCAACCCUUGAAUGCCGGCGGAUACUGUCGGGCUAGAGUCCGGAAGAGGCGAGUGGAAUUCCCGGUGUAGCGGUGAAAUGCGCAGAUAUCAGGAGGAACACCGAUGGCGAAGGCAGGUCUCUGGGCCACUACUGACGCUGAGAAGCGAAAGCAUGGCGAGCGAACAGG